GAGAUCAUGACAUCUGCUUCUUAAACAAGGACACCAUAAAUCCAUUUGUUUCAUGUCUAAAAGUUUUCACUGGAAGAGCAGAGAAGGGGGAGUGCUGCAUGAGAGGACAGAGAGAGAAAAAGGGAACUGGGCUGGGUGAAAAAAGAAAAAAGAAAAAAAAACCUACACGGGCUGUAGGACUCAAGGCGACUAUAAAACAGCUUUCUUGCCCAUUGUGUUGAUGUAGUCAAGAUAUACCGUAACGUACAGACAGACGGAGAUGGAGGAGUGAGGCGGGACCGGUUUGUGUGGCUGCUAAGAAACGUUUGUCUUGCGGUUUGCGAGCAAACUUUGUGAGAUUUAUUUGUGGCGGGGUCUGCCUAUGACAGUCCUCUGAAACUUUAACUCUCGUGUUUGAGACGCAGCAGUGCACAUAAACAAGCCUUUUAUUAUUUUAAUGCUAGUAAAAUAAACGGCAGUUCAGAAUUUAGUCUUGCGACUCGCAUAUCUGUCCUCUAGUCACAGUUGCAAGAUAAGCGGGACAAUAUUAGGAGAGUUUUUUUGCUGAGUGGGUUCUCUGUACAGUUGACGCGGCUGAAAUGGGAGCGCAUGACGGGCGCUUGGUGUCUGCGGUUCACCGGAGCUCUUUCCUCUUGUGGACGCUGCUGCCGAUACUGUGGCUGACAUGCGUUCAGGGGACGUGGGGACCCGGAGUUUACAAAUACCAAACCGGGACAGCACUCCACAAAGAUCUGUCGAAAAGGAACUGGUGUCCGCAGACGGUGACUAAGACAGUGACUUGUCAGGUACAGAAUGGCACCACGCUCCAGAGAGUCUAUCAGACCUGCAGGUGGCCUCAGGGUUGCAAUGGGGGAAGCUAUCGCACUGUGGUCCGGCCAUCCUAUAAAGUUGUGUACCGCACCAUCACCUCUCUGGAGUGGAAAUGUUGUCCUGGAUACAGCGGAUCUCAGUGUGAGGAAGGAUCAUCAAGUAACCUGGUCGCCCAGGAGGCUGUAAGGAAACAGGCUACAUUUCUGAAACAUGCUGCUAAAACAGGAGAACAGGUCUCGAACUGUCUGAAUUGCAGUCGUAUCACUGCCCUCACAGAUCGUGUGAGCUCUCUAGAGGCCAAGGUUCAGCUUCUUACCAUUCCUGCCUCCAACUCUCAUCGACAGACGGAGUUAAAAAAUGAACACGAUUCCUCCUCCCUGAUGGGGUCGCCACCCGCUAAAGGUGCUCCUGGGGCUCAGGGUCCCGCAGGUCCACAGGGCGAGAGAGGCCAGGACGGCUUACCUGGUAAAGAUGGUAAACCAGGUUCUCGAGGUCUGCCAGGACCCAAAGGAGAGGCGGGUACCAGAGGUCCAUCUGGGGCUCCAGGGUCUAAAGGAACAGCUGGUCCUCCAGGUCCACAGGGACCACCGGGCCUCCCAGGAGAGAGGGGCCUCCCUGGGCUUCCCGGGCCCCCUGGCCCACCAGCCCCUGUACCUGAACAAGAUGCUGGCCUGAAAAAAGACAGUCUCCUUCAUAACAACUUCCCUGACCUCCGAGUGACCCCUCCACAUGGACCACCAGGUCCACCUGGACCCACCGGUCCUCCAGGACCAAUCGGACCCUCUGGACCACCAGGCCCUAUGGGACAGUCUGGAAAGCCAGGAGUUCCUGGUUUGCAAGGCCCGGUGGGUCCAAAGGGAGAACGAGGAGAAAGAGGACCUCUUGGAUAUCCAGGAGAGAGAGGAUUCAAAGGAGAGACGGGAGAGCCGGGACCUAAAGGAGAGCCAGGGGAGAAAGGUCUUCCGAGCGAUUUGAACGUAAGAGAUUUUGACAUUUGCUGUGACGUUUUUGUCGUUCCUGUUUUUAGGAUUUCAUUGCUCAUCCUGCCGUUCAUCUGUGUUUUAACAUCAGCAAUCACAUUAAAUCCAUCAGUGGAAUUUUCAUCAUGAAAAAGGAGAGCAGAUUGUCUCUCUCAUCCUGAAUUUAUGGAAAAUUAUCAGAAAAAUAGGCAAAAUUACACAUGAAUGGAAACUCCACUGAAAGGAUUUGCUCCACAAAUGCUGUUCAUUGCUUACUUACAGUACUCACUGUUAGCACAUUAUAUGUCUCGGUUUUGUGUGCACUGAUAUUGUUUCUAUAUGUUUUUGAAUAAGAGGUUGCCCUUUAUGACUGAUUUGAGACGAGUUUUACAGUCUAAAGGGGGUUUAGGGGAUUCUGAUCCAGUCUCAGAUUAGAAUACAAGGGCAUCUCUUCAGAAUGUGCAAUUAUGUUGUUAAUGUUGUGGAUUUUGAUUGGUUGGUGGUUGGGGCUGUCUUGAGUGUUUCCCCUGUCCUCUAAAGCUGAUUCCUUUCCGUUACUGUCUCCAUGGCUGCCUUUUACAUACCCAACACACAGAGAAGUUAACUCUUUGCUUUGUGCUGUCACGACAGAGAGGAAACAUUGAAUUAUUGAUACAUCUUUUGUGUGUAUACCAUUGCAAAAUAAUUAAUCAGGGUUUAGCAACCAAACUGCUAGAAAGGGGGGUAAAAAAGUAUUUGCACGGCUGAAAGAUGUGUGUUGUGUAUAUGCUCCAUUUUAGCAUUUGCAGGGAUUUGGUGUGUGGAUGGACGUGUAGAUCGAUACAGCUAUUGUUCAUUGUCCCACAGUGCAUUGCUGCAUGUUCCCAUCUCAUUACUCUGCUUGUGAUCUUGCUUUUUGCUUACACAACUAACAUCUAACCAUUCGAUUUUGAGUUUAGCAGCAUUGAGCGAUUAAUAGUCAAACAAACGUUCUGUUUAAUUGCAUUACGCUCUCACACUCAAUCCAUAGUGAAAGGCUUGCUAUACUGAAUAGUCUUAGUUCACAUGUUGAUGUAUGGUUUUCCGCAUGGCCUGCCGAUCCCAGAAGAUGUGGGCCAUUUGUGUGUUAUUAAUCAUAAGACAGAUAAUUCGAUUAAAUCCUGAAGAUGCUGUAUCUAGACUCCUUAGAGAUGUAUACAUUAUGUACAAAGACCAUACAACUAUCUGAAGAUUAAUCUCUUCACAUUUAUCAUUGUGAGGCCUAGCACUCAUAUAGUACCGUGGGGAAAGAUUCUGGACCAUAGCCAUACUUACAUCUCUUAAUGAUUAUGGUAUUUUUUUCAAGAAAUAAUAUUAUAUAUUGUUUGCUGUUUUAUUUGGCUAGAUGAACUACCUCCUGCUCUCACAGGCACUAACUUUUACAUAAGCCUUACAUACAUAACUCUUUCCUGACUUCAUCAAUAACACUGUUUUUCUAACAUGUGCUUGAGCUUGGGACUGUUGGGUAGAAUGUACGUUAUGUGACCAUUUUCUUUACACUGUUCAACAAUUGCCUACCAAAGCCACAUAACUAAGUAUUUCAACAGAUUUUUUUUUGUAAAAUAGCACAAAGUUUAUCUGUUAGAUCAGAUGUGCACGUGUAGUGAUUCCAUGUAGGGCUGGGUAAAAAAUAUUGAUUUUCCGAUUAAUGUUUUAGUAAUGUACAUAAGAUGGAAGGUUCUCUCUGUCCGUGUUUAAUGCUCCACUUUUCAAUGACGCAGUUAUAUUUUUGCUGAGUUGUUGACAGUAUAUGAAGCAAUAAAAAGAAACAUCUUUCUAUUGAAUUGACCUCAUGUGAAAAACGUAAGGCUAGUUACGCACAACGUGACUAGUUGAACAAAUAACAACAAGUGAACCCAUUAUAUUGUGUGUGAAUCACAAUCUUUAUGUUUAGUGAAUCCAAAACAUACAGUGUGACUAGCGUAGCCUGACUCCUAUGAGACGGCUCUUUUUAGUGAAUCAAAAACAUACCACGUGAAUGAAUCAGAUUUGGACCAAAUCGGAAAAAUUUGUAUUGAUACCCAACCUUAAUUCCAUGAACUUGAAGGUCAGACUUUUAUAUGUAUUAUGUGGAAAUGAUUUACUCUCAUUGGACAUCUGUAUUUGAUAUUUCUUCAGUGUAAGCUAAUGAAAGUGGCUUUGGUGUAAGAGCAUCUUUUACCUUGAGAUGAGCAGACUAAAGACUAAAGAAAUGUGUGCAUAGUCAACUGAGUACAAAAAUGGUCCAGAUGACUCCAAUAUUUCUUUAGUUUGAACAAAGCUGCUCACCUCAUGUUUUUUUUUUUUUCAGUAACAUAGUCUGAGUGUGCUGGGAAUGUUAAAUGCAUGUUCAAAUCUAAAACGAUUGAACAUUUGGUCUUGAUUUGCUCUAAGGAGCCUUUGGCCUGGCCUGAAGAAAAAAAAGUGCAUGCUCUUUUGUCAAGACUUAUGGCAUGGCCACAGAAGAAAAGAAUGAAAUAAGACAGGCAGAGCUAAAUCUGAUGUGUAGUUAACUGGAGUUUCGUAGUGAAUGGAGCUGAGAACUUAACCCGCUAACUACGGUAAUGGAUUGAGAUUAAUGUAAUUGAUUAACAGAAUGACUUUGCAUCUUGGCGAGCGCUUUUGUUUGGCUUGUGCCCAAUACCUUGACGGCUGUAUCUAUCUCCACAGGGGGAUGGGAUACACCAAAUCCGCGAGGCCCUGAAGAUCUUAGCCGAGAGGGUUUUAAUCCUCGAGACUAUGAUCGGUAUCCAUGGUGAGUAAGAGGCCAGAAGUAGGUUUAGGUCCGUUUUAAAAGGACUUAGGACCAGGGGUCAGAGACUUCAGUGCAUCUUUUACCCCACAACACUUUUGGAAAGCGAGCGAGGAGCAAAGUGUGGUGGAGGACAGGGGCCAAGUACUCCACCUGCCAUCCAUGAGCCCACCCCCCACCAUUCUUUCAAAACUUUUGAUUUUUGAUAGGACUUUAAUUUGAAGAAGUUCCAAGACUUGCAGGCUGACUUAGAGCUGCUGGCUCGCAGGGUGCAGCUGCUGGAGGCGAUCAUCUGGCCAGAACCAGAUGUAGGGUCAGGAGAUGGCCUCUUUGGCACACCAUCUCCAGACGUCUACC